AACUCACACAUGCGCACCAGAGACAUUCUCUUUCUCGGUGGACACAAUGGCGGACGCAGAGAAGAAGGUUCCGGCGGUACCGGAGAGCCUCUUAAAAAGGCGGAAGGCCUUCGCCACUAUGAAGGCCAUGCGUAUCAAGAAGAUGCUUGCCGACAAAAAAACUCGCAAGGUGACCAGGCACCUGAUCUACAAGAGGGCUGAGAAGUACCACAAGGAGUACAGGGAGAUGUACCGCCGUGAGAUCCGUAUGGGGAGGACGGCCCGCAAGGUCGGGAACUUCUACGUCCCAGCGGAGCCCAAGCUGGCCUUCGUCAUCAGGAUCAGGGGUAUCAACGGUGUCAGCCCCAAGGUGCGCAAGGUCCUCCAGCUCAUGCGUCUGCGUCAGAUCUUCAACGGAGUCUUCGUCAAACUGAACAAGGCUUCCAUCAACAUGCUGAGGAUCGCCGAGCCCUACAUCGCUUGGGGGUACCCCAACCUGAAGUCUGUGCGCGAGCUGAUCUACAAGCGUGGCCAUGGCAGGAUGACCAAGCAGCGCAUCGCCCUCACGGACAACGCCCUGAUCGAGAAGGCCCUGGGUAAAUACGGCAUCAUCUGCGUGGAGGACCUGAUCCACGAGAUCUACACGGUCGGGAAGAACUUCAAGCCUGCCAACAACUUCCUGUGGCCCUUCAAACUGUCCACACCCCGAGGGGGCAUGAACAAGAAGACGACUCACUUUGUGGAGGGAGGAGACGCUGGAAACAGGGAGGACCAGAUCAACAGACUCGUCAGGAGGAUGAACUAGAGAAGCAAUGGUGAGACAUUUGUUCCAGUUCCAGGGGGCUCUCAACUCCCGUUCCUGGGGAGCUACCCACCUCUGUGUGUUCCUGGGGAGCUACCCACCUCUGUGUGUUCCUGGGGAGCUACCCACCUCUGUGUGUUCCUGGGGAGCUACCCACCUCUGUGUGUUCUAGCCUGAUUUCGGCUUAUCAACCAGUUAAUUGUUAAAAUGAUCUAGUGUUGGGACGCAACACUGAUGUCAGUAAACGCAGGUCCUGAAGAUGAGUAGGCGAGACUAUUUCCACCUUACGUUUUAUGGAAUCGGCAAGAUCUCGAUUGGCUGAAUUGGGUGUCUCAGUGUCGCUCCAGCAUCAGGACAGUCUCAGGGGACAGUUUCUCAGCUCGGUCCAAUUCACCCCCCCAAAAAAAAAACCUUUUGAAAGUCAUUAUUUUCUACUUACGUGUCCAGUUUCUAGUUUACGAAAUGUGGUUAAUGAUGCUCAACUUUUUUCCCCAUCUUAUCGACUCUGGUGAAACCAGUCUGAAAAAAAUAAGCCUAUUUUGUCUGAAACCACAAAGUGAACUACUGGCACUCCAAAUCUGAAGUGAAAACCUGGUAAUUCUGGACCCGGUUGUAAAUUAAUAUAAAUAAAUAAUAUUAAUAAUUCUGCCGAGAUCCCAUUUCCUAUUUCGAUGGGGAACUAUUAUGAAUUCUCUGAUUUAAAUGGUUCAGUGUUGAAAUAGUUUUAAAAAACAAUUUUAAAAAUCCAUGUUAUUUUUCAACUGCACAUUAUUUAUUGUAGAGCAGUUUGUCCUGUUUAUUUCCCAGCAUCCCAGGCGGUGUCUUCUAUGGGCUCCCUAUUGGGCCCUCUCUAAGGUGCCCUUUGGGAUGUUACCUUGGUUUCAGUCCCGCUAAAAGCAGCUGGUUUAAACUGUUACCAAAGAUGAAUCAACAUCCUAAAAGUGAAACUGGGAUUAUAAUUAUUUUUGUUAUUGCGUGGCAUCAAGGAAACCCUUGAUGAGAUUUCUGAAAUCUUUUAGUAUUUUUGUGUAAAUCUGACUACACAAACUAUUGGAAAUGUUUAUUUGCUGUAAAUAAAAUAAAAAACCUUUUUUGUUUUCUGUUAUUCAUGUUGUGAAUUUCUUUCUUUCAGGUUUUUCCACGGGAUUCUGAGCUCUGUACAAUAAAUAAAAAAAACUCAAAAGAAACGGA